rnacentral:rRNA from 1 species
GGGGGGAUUAGUGGCGAACGGGUGAGUAACACGUGAGUAACCUGCCCUUGACUCUGGGAUAAGCCUGGGAAACUGGGUCUAAUACCGGAUAUGACUCCUCAUCGCAUGGUGGGGGGUGGAAAGCUUUUUGUGGUUUUGGAUGGACUCGCGGCCUAUCAGCUUGUUGGUGAGGUAAUGGCUCACCAAGGCGACGACAGGUAGCCGGCCUGAGAGGGUGACCGGCCACACUGGGACUGAGACACGGCCCACACUCCUACGGGAGGCAGCAGUGGGGAAUAUUGCACAAUGGGCGAAAGCCUGAUGCACCGACGCCGCGUGAGGGAUGACGGCCUUCGGGUUGUAAACCUCUUUCAGUAGGGAAGAAGCGAAAGUGACGGUACCUGCAGAAGAAGCGCCGGCUAACUACGUGCCAGCAGCCGCGGUAAUACGUAGGGCGCAAGCGUUAUCCGGAAUUAUUGGGCGUAAAGAGCUCGUAGGCGGGUUGUCGCGUCUGCCGUGAAAGUCCGGGGCUCAACUCCGGAUCUGCGGUGGGUACGGGCAGACUAGAGUGAUGUAGGGGAGACUGGAAUUCCUGGUGUAGCGGUGAAAUGCGCAGAUAUCAUGAGGAAGACCGAUGGCGAAGGCAGGUCUCUGGGCAUUAACUGACGCUGAGGAGCGAAAGCAUGGGAGCGAACAGGAUUAGAUACCCUGGUAGUCCAUGCCGUAACGUUGGGCACUAAGGGUGGGGACAUUCCACGUUU